rnacentral:rRNA from 1 species
AUACGAAGGGGGCUAGCGUUGUUCGGAAUUACUGGGCGUAAAGCGCGCGUAGGCGGACUGAUCAGUUGGGGGUGAAAUCCCAGGGCUUAACCCUGGAACUGCCUCCAAUACUGUCAGUCUUGAGUUCGGGAGAGGUGAGUGGAAUUCCUAGUGUAGAGGUGAAAUUCGUAGAUAUUAGGAAGAACACCAGUGGCGAAGGCGGCUCACUGGCCCGAUACUGACGCUGAGGCGCGAAAGCGUGGGGAGCAAACAGGAGUAGAUACCCCAGUAGUCC